AGGGGGGCCGGGGGCCAAUGAGGGGGCCCUGCGAGGCAGCGGCGGCCGCCUCUGAAAGUGCCGCGAGCCGGCGGCGCCCAGCACGAGGAAGGGGAAGAUGAGAGAGCAGCAUAAGAAAGAAGUGUUGAGAGCUGCUCUUAACCCUUUUGGAGGCCAAAGUCAAAAGGGAACUAGAGGGCUUGACGCAUCCUUUACAUCCUGCAUUUACUCUGACCACAGUCCCUCCCUGUUCUCACGAGCGGAGCUCAGCCCUGCUUCCCUUCCUGUUGAUUCCCAGUCAGCUACAUGA
rnacentral:lncRNA from 1 species